rnacentral:tRNA from 1 species
UAGCUCAGUGGUAGAGCUCCCGCUUCGUAUGUGGGAAGACCUGGGUUCGUUUCCCGG